rnacentral:rRNA from 1 species
ACCAACAGCGAUCGCCGUUGUCAUGGCGAGUGAAGCGGCAACAGCUCACAUCUGAAAUCUGACUUUUGUAGGGUGCGUGUGGUUAUUUGCAGAUGGCGCUUGGGCUUUGGGAGCUGUCCUAGUUCCUCGGAACAGCACGUCACAGAGGGUGAGAAUACCCUACGUGGUCGCAAGCCAUUGCCUCGUAAAGUCCCUUUGACGGGUUGAGUUGUUUGGGAAUGCAGCUUUAAAUGGGAGGUAAAUUUUUUUUAAAGCUAAAUAUUGGCCAGAGACCGAUAGCGCACCAGUAGAGUGAUUGAAAGGUGAAAAGCCAUUUGGAAAAAGAGUCAAACUGCACGUGAAAUUGUUGAAAGGGGAGCGCUUGCAGCCCGACUUGCUUGCAGUUGGUUCUUCGGGCUUUCUCUCGGUGCCAUUUUGCGCAGGCAGGCCAGGAUCAGUUUGUGCGGUGGGAUAAAGGUCUGUGACACGUUCCUUCCUUCGGGUGGGCCAUAUAGGGGAGACGUCAUACCACCGGCGUGGAUUGAGGUCCGCGCAUCUGCUAGGAUGCUGGCGUAAUGGUUGUCAGUCGCCCGUCUUGAAACACGGACCAAGGAGUCUAACAUCUAUGCGAGUGUUUGGGUGUCAAGCCCGCGCGCGUAAUGAAAGUGAACGGAGGUGAGAACCCGCAAGGGCGCACCAUCGACCGAUCCUGAAGUUUACGGAUGGAUUUGAGUAAGAGCAUGGCUGUUGGGACCCGAAAGAUGGUGAACUAUGCGUGAAUAGGGUGAAGCCAGAGGAAACUCUGGUGGAGGCUCGCAGCGGUUCUGACGUGCAAAUCGAUCGUCAAA